rnacentral:rRNA from 1 species
CACGUAGGGUGCGAGCGUUGUCCGGAAUUAUUGGGCGUAAAGAGCUCGUAGGCGGUGUGUCGCGUCGGCCGUGAAAACCUGCAGCUUAACUGUGGGCUUGCGGUCGAUACGGGCAUCACUGGAGUUCGGCAGGGGAGACUGGAAUUCCUGGUGUAGCGGUGAAAUGCGCAGAUAUCAGGAGGAACACCGGUGGCGAAGGCGGCAUCCUGGACCGAUACUGACGCUGAGGAGCGAAAGCCAGGGGAGCAAACGGG